rnacentral:rRNA from 1 species
CCUACGGGAGGCAGCAGUGAGGAAUAUUGGUCAAUGGACGAGAGUCUGAACCAGCCAAGUAGCGUGAAGGAUGACUGCCCUAUGGGUUGUAAACUUCUUUUAUAAGGGAAUAAAGUUAAGUACGUGUACCUUUUUGUAUGUACCUUAUGAAUAAGGAUCGGCUAACUCCGUGCCAGCAGCCGCGGUAAUACGGAGGAUCCGAGCGUUAUCCGGAUUUAUUGGGUUUAAAGGGAGCGUAGACGGGCGAUUAAGUCAGUUGUGAAAGUUUGCGGCUCAACCGUAAAAUUGCAUUUGAUACUGGGUGUCUUGAGUGCAGUUGAGGUAGGCGGAAUUCGUGGUGUAGCGGUGAAAUGCUUAGAUAUCACGAAGAACCCCGAUUGCGAAGGCAGCUUACUAAACUGUAACUGACACUGAUGCUCGAAAGUGUGGGUAUCAAACAGGAUUAGAUACCCUAGUAGUC